CAUGUCUUCCGUUCCAUCUUCACUCUCUUUGCCUCCCUCCCUCUUGGGAUUUGGGUUUAACACCCCACCCAUGAGGCUUCUCACCCCACUUUUAUUGAAAUCGGGAUUUAAAUUUCCAUUUUUAAAACGGAAUUUAAUAUUCCGUUUUUUUUAGUAUACAAUAAAUAGUUGAAAAUGUGCCACAUGUGCUAAAAUACAAAACGGUUUUUUAAGUUCCGUUUUAUUUGUAUUAAAAAACGGAAAUUUAAAUCCCGCUUUCAAUAAUAAAAAAGUGGGGUGAGAAGCCUCAUAGGCGGGGUGUUAAACCCAAAUCCCCUCCCUCUUCUGUUUCUUUGUUUGCGAUGUUGAGGCCAGGGAUUCCUCUCCCCGUUACAUCGCAAGGCCCUCUCCUAAACCCCCAAAGUUGUGGCUGUCGUUUUUUUCCGCAGCGGCAUCGACAUCGGCGACGAGGUGGAGACCCUGAGGGCUCCGGCGGCGUGCGAGGUAGGGGAGAUAGGUGGAUGGCGAACUGAGGAAUCUGUCCCGUCCAUUAGGAACUGAGGAAUCGACUGCGAGAUUUGCACAACAGAUAUUAAAUCGCAGCCCUUUGCGGCUUAACAUUAUUUUCUUCUUGGCAGAUUUGCGGCUUCACUAAUCUGUGGUUCGUAGUCUACUAGGAGGUCUAGAAGAAGAAUACAAGCGCAUUUGGCUGACAUGGAGUUGAAGUGGUGAUUCAAAGUAUCUGCUUAAAAUUGGCAUUGAGUGCUACUGAUAAAAUCGGAUGUCGAAGCACUGUUUUUGGUUGGGGAGUGGGGAUAAGCAUUGAGUGCUACUCAGCUGCAUUUUGCAACAAUCUCAGGCUUUGAUCAAAUAUCAAUUGGGGGUCAGGGUAGGUUUAUGCGAGUGUGAAUUCCCUCAGUAUUGUGACUCUCUAAGAUGAGUUUCACCAAGAUGGCAAUGAGAAGGUUUGACAUAUAAUUCAUCAAAUGGGGAAAUUGUUGCUAUUUUCAGGAUUUAAGAGCUGUGAACGGAUGUGGCCUUUUGUCUGUUGUAGAACUUGAGAUGUUAUUUUUGGGGGAUAAUGAGUAUCAGGAUUUUGGUGUGAAAUCUUUCAAUUGAAAAGCACUAUUUCUGUACUUCACAUAUUAUGAGAUGACCACGGGGUUCCUUUGAGAUCUAUGUUGUACAUUCAAAUAUCUCUACUGCAAAAUUACAUCUGCAACUUAAAAUCAUGUCAGUAAUAUACUUCCUAAUUCUAUGCCCCUUUCUGGAUUAGUGUAUCUACCCUAUCUUGGUGUGUUUAUCUUUUAAUCUAAUAGUUUGUUAGAAGUUGAGAGGCCCAAACAUGCUUUGUUCUCCCAAUUUGAGGGGCUCUUAUUGGAGUUUGAUGAUUUUCUUAAGGGGCUGUUUGGUAUAUGAGGGACCCUUAUUCCUUCACAUGGUUUUUUUAUUGACUAGGUAGUAGGUAGUACUAUAGUUUCAAUGAGCAUAACUUUAUCUGCACUAGAGGAAAAUGAUUGAAGGUACUUCUCUUCUUUCUCUAAUUUAUCUCCUUCUACAGAGCCUUCAUUUGAAACCUUUUGACUUGAGUAUCUCUCUCAUGAAAAUACUUUUUUCUAUCUUUGAACUAAUCUGAAUCCCCUUUCUACUUGGCAAAUUAAAAGAAUUGUAGGUGCUUAUUUUGUUUCCUCAUUUUUAUUGCUUGCGAUUUUCUCUUUCUUGCAAUUUCUAUCUUUACUACAUGAUUUUGUGCACGUGUGUAUUGGCUUUCACACAUAAUUUGUUGGGUGUCUCUAUAAAAAAGUAGUUUCAUGUAUUUUUGUUUCAAUGAGCAUAACCUGAGGUCUGUUCUGCUUUUAUUAGUUGUUUCUUGAUAUUUGUGUGCAUUUGCCCUUGAGUAAUAGAUUAGGAAGCUUUGAAUGGAUAGUUUUAGACAUUGAAUAGCACUUGACUUUACAUAAGACUUGGCCUCUAAAAUAUCAAAUCGCUUAAAAGAGGAAACUGGAUAAGAGAAAAGGGUGGUAGGAUUCUACCGGUUAAAUUGUUUGACUGAGUCUAUUUUCAAAUUUAUAUUAUUUUGAUGGUUUCAAAUUCUGAUGUAACAAUUGCAAUGCAUGCCAAUGAGUAUAUAGUUUUUGAAAAUUUUCUUUUCAUGACUCUUUCGAGAUUCUUUUGUCUAUCCGGUUACUCACUCCCUAUUUAUUUGUUGGCUUGCUGAAAAAGAUCCAAGAAACAAACUCAUGCUUUUGUGUUCAUUGCCUUCACGCUUAGUGGCCUCCAAAGCACUGAGAACCAAAUGAAUUCAAUAUGUUAUCAAGAAGAAGCAAAGUGCAGGUUGUGCCAAGAAGAAGUCAAUGGUGGAGCACACACAAGAGGAUCAUGAAGCUCACUCAUGGGAACAUCAAAUACAGUACCAAGUCAAGAGCCUAGAGAAUGUUUGCAUGUGUUUAGUGAAGCUCCAUCCUCAAGCUCAUCUUCAUCUUCCUGCCACAGUCCUAUUCUUGCCAAAUUUCUCAGCUUCAAAUUACAAGCUGAGAUGAUGAAGGGUCUCAAACAGUCCUCUUUGUGACAGGAGAAUGUGAAAUCAAGCUAGCAUUAAUUUUAAAGUGAUCCAUGUUUAUUUAUCAUAAAAAAGUGAUCCAUGUUUAUGAUAUGAAUACGUUUCAUCUAUCAAGUUUCAUGGCCACAUGUUAUGCUAUAGAGAUGGUUUGACAUUGGUGAAUGCCAUAUGUUACAUUAUGGCAUACUAUUUUUUAUUAGGGCUUAUUUUAUAUGUAAUAAUUUGUUUUCUCUUACAUAUAUGUAAUACCUAUCAUUAUUUAAUUAUUUGUUCCUAAUUACCUA